UGACUAUGUUGUCAAGCCCAACACAAAGGUCUAGGUUCAUGGGGAUCAUAAGACACAGCCCCGGCUGCUCUGCCCAGGAGGCUGCAGGGGAAGGGAAGACGUCAAGGGAGAAGCUCUCCUCCUAGAACUUUAAGGCUAUGAACAAUUCUGAUGUGUUUGAAAUCACUGUGAAAGGACUGGACACAGACCCUUCAUCCUGGGCACCAACAACAUCCCCUCACCUAAGGAGUCCUUCA